rnacentral:tRNA from 2 species
GCCCUGGUGAUGGAAUGGUAGACAUGGUUGAUUCAAAAUCAACUGCUUUUUGCGUGGAGGUUCGAGUCCUCUCCAGGGCA